GAUGAAUGCUGGCGGCGUGCCUAAUACAUGCAAGUCGAGCGAACGGACGAGAAGCUUGCUUCUCUGAUGUUAGCGGCGGACGGGUGAGUAACACGUGGAUAACCUACCUAUAAGACUGGGAUAACUUCGGGAAACCGGAGCUAAUACCGGAUAAUAUUUUGAACCGCAUGGUUCAAAAGUGAAAGACGGUCUUGCUGUCACUUAUAGAUGGAUCCGCGCUGCAUUAGCUAGUUGGUAAGGUAACGGCUUACCAAGGCAACGAUGCAUAGCCGACCUGAGAGGGUGAUCGGCCACACUGGAACUGAGACACGGUCCAGACUCCUACGGGAGGCAGCAGUAGGGAAUCUUCCGCAAUGGGCGAAAGCCUGACGGAGCAACGCCGCGUGAGUGAUGAAGGUCUUCGAAUCGUAAAACUCUGUUAUUAGGGAAGAACAUAUGUGUAAGUAACUGUGCACAUCUUGACGGUACCUAAUCAGAAAGCCACGGCUAACUACGUG
rnacentral:rRNA from 1 species